rnacentral:rRNA from 1 species
AUGCCGAUCGCCGGCUGCUUCGGUGGGAAAGGGAAGGUGGGCGGCGGUGCCGGCGCUGCGCCUGCGCCAGCGUGCCCGCGCUACGUGCCCAGGAGGGGCAAGGUGUUCCGGGCCGUGCUGGGCGCGCUGGUCAGCUGCUACCGCCCCGCCAGGACCGGGCCUCUGCCGCGCUGA